rnacentral:rRNA from 1 species
UACGAGGGGGGCUAGCGUUGCUCGGAAUCACUGGGCGUAAAGGGUGCGUAGGCGGGUCUUUAAGUCAGGGGUGAAAUCCUGGAGCUCAACUCCAGAACUGCCUUUGAUACUGAAGAUCUUGAGUCCGGGAGAGGUGAGUGGAACUGCGAGUGUAGAGGUGAAAUUCGUAGAUAUUCGCAAGAACACCAGUGGCGAAGGCGGCUCACUGGCCCGGUACUGACGCUGAGGCACGAAAGCGUGGGGAGCAAACAGG